CCCGAAUGCCGCUCCUGUCAGCGGCUGUGCUAUGUGAUGGUGGGUGACACGUGGAGGGAAACAGGAUCUCUUCCAGAAUAUGUGAAAAGGGAAAGAUGCAGAUUGCCACCUUCUUUCUCCACAGCCACUGAAAUGGGAGGCCCAGCUAAUGAAAAUAGUUCUGUUCUCAGCUGAGUUGACAGUGUUGCCACAGAAUGGAUUGGGAGUAACUCCAAGAAAGUGAGAAAAUUGCUAAGAACAGUGGGAAAAACUGUGGAGUCACAAGAGGCAGAUCAACAAGGGACUAUAAGCUUUAAGGUAAAAGCCAGAGAGAAGGACUUUCUGCUGCCAUACAGGUGUGCACAUCUUGAAUCCCACAAGUGUGGAUCCACUA